AAUUGGAGGGCAAGUCUGGUGCCAGCAGCCGCGGUAAUUCCAGCUCCAAUAGCGUAUAUUAAAGUUGUUGCAGUUAAAAAGCUCGUAGUUGAAUUUCGGGAUUGACACAUCGGUCGUGCCUUAAGGGGUAUGAACUGGUGUAGUCAAUUUCUCACCUUCUGGAGAACCGCGAUGCCCUUAAUUGGGUGUCACGGGGAACCAGGACCUUUACUUUGAAAAAAUUAGAGUGUUUAAAGCAGGCAUUUUGCUUGAAUACAUUAGCAUGGAAUAAUAAAAUAGGACGGCAUGAUUCUAUUUUGUUGGUUUCUAGGAUCACCGUAAUGAUUAAUAGGGAUAGUUGGGGGCAUUAGUAUUCAAUUGUCAGAGGUGAAAUUCUUGGAUUUAUUGAAGACUAACUACUGCGAAAGCAUUUACCAAGGAUGUUUUCAUUAAUCAAGAACGAAAGUUAGGGGAUCGAAGACGAUCAGAUACCGUCGUAGUCUUAACCAUAAACUAUGCCGACUAGGAAUCAGACGAUGUUAAUUUUUUAAUGACUCGUUUGGCACCUUACGGGAAACCAAAGUGU
rnacentral:rRNA from 1 species